rnacentral:rRNA from 1 species
AACGCAGCGAAGGGCGAUAAGUAGUGUGAAUUGCAGAAUUCAGUGAAUCAUCGAAUCUUUGAACGCACAUUGCGCCCCUUGGUAUCCCAGGGGGCAUGCCUGUUCGAGCGUCAUUUCUACCACUCAAGCUCAGCUUGGUAUUGGGUACUGUUUAAUUUAUUUAACAAGCCUUAAAUGUAGACGGCGAUUUAACCCCUUAGCUUAAAGCGUAGCAGUAAAACAUUUUCGCUUUAAAUAUCUAGGGUAUUAUCUACCGUAUAGUUAUUUUACUAUAGUUUGACCUCGGAUCAGGCAGGGAUACCCGCUGAACUUAA